rnacentral:rRNA from 1 species
UUGGAGGGCAAGUCUGGUGCCAGCAGCCGCGGUAAUUCCAGCUCCAAUAGCGUGUAUUAAAGUUGUUGCAGUUAAAAAGCUCGUAGUUGAACUUCGGGGUCUACCCAUUGGUCAGGCUUAAUUGUCUGUACUGGUGAGAUGGAUCUCUACCUUCUGAGGAACUUUCAUGCCAUUUAUUUGGUGUGGUUGGAAAUCAGGACUGUUACUUUGAAAAAAUUAGAGUGUUUAAAGCAGACUAUCGUCUGAAUACAUUAGCAUGGAAUAAUGAAAUAGGACGGACUGAUUCUAUUUCGUUGGUUUCUAGGAUCACCGUAAUGAUUAAUAGGGAUAGUUGGGGGCAUUAGUAUUCAAUUGUCAGAGGUGAAAUUCUUGGAUUUAUUGAAGACUAACUACUGCGAAAGCAUUUGCCAAGGAUGUUUUCAUUAAUCAAGAACGAAAGUUAGGGGAUCGAAGACGAUCAGAUACCGUCGUAGUCUUAACCAUAAACUAUGCCGACUAGGGAUCGGACGAAGUUAAUUUUAUAAUGACGCGUUCGGCACCUUACGGGAAACCAAAGUGUUUGGGUUC